rnacentral:rRNA from 1 species
CCCUUAGAUGUUCUGAACCGCACGCGUGUUACACUGAUGCAUUCAACGAGCUUUACCUUGGCCGAGAGGCCUGGGAAAUCUUUUUAGCAUGCAUCGUGAUAGGGAUUGAUUAUUGCAAUUAUUAAUCAUGAACGAGGAAUUCCUAGUAAACGCAUUUCAUCAAAAUGCAUUGAUUACGUCCCUGCCCUUUGUACACACCGUCCGUCGCACCUACCGAUUGAGUGGUCCGGUGAAGUCUCGAGAUUGUGGCAAUCUCCUUUAUUGGAGUUUGACUGCGAGAACUUGCCUAAACCUUAUCACUUAGAGGAAGGUGAAGUCGUAACA